rnacentral:rRNA from 1 species
AAUAAGCGGAGGAAAAGAAACCAACAGGGAUUGCCCCAGUAACGGCGAGUGAAGCGGCAACAGCUCAAAUUUGAAAUCUGGCCCCGGGCCCGAGUUGUAAUUUGCAGAGGAUGCUUUUGGUGACGCGCCUACCGAGUCCCCUGGAACGGGGCGCCACAGAGGGUGAGAGCCCCGUAUGGUUUGACGCCGAGCCUCUGUAAAGCUCCUUCGACGAGUCGAGUAGUUUGGGAAUGCUGCUCUAAAUGGGAGGUAAAUUUCUUCUAAAGCUAAAUACCGGCCAGAGACCGAUAGCGCACAAGUAGAGUGAUCGAAAGAUGAAAAGCACUUUGAAAAGAGGGUUAAAUAGCACGUGAAAUUGUUGAAAGGGAAGCGCUCGUGACCAGACUUGCGCCGGGCGGAUCAUCCAGCGUUCUCGCUGGUGCACUCCGCCCGGCUCAGGCCAGCAUCGGUUUUCGCCGGGGGACAAAAGCACCGGGAAUGUGGCUCCCCUCGGGGAGUGUUAUAGCCCGGCGCGCAAUACCCCGGCGGGGACCGAGGACCGCGCUUCGGCAAGGAUGCUGGCGUAAUGGUCAUCAGCGACCCGUCUUGAAACACGGACCGAGGAGUCAAGCAUUAGUGCGAGUGUUUGGGUGUAAAACCCGCACGCGUAAUGAAAGUGAACGUAGGUGAGAGCUUCGGCGCAUCAUCGACCGAUCCUGAUGUUUUCGGAUGGAUUUGAGUAGGAGCAUUAACGCUUGGACCCGAAAGAUGGUGAACUAUACUUGAAUAGGGUGAAGCCAGAGGAAACUCUGGUGGAGGCUCGCAGCGGUUCUGACGUGCAAAUCGAUCGUCAAAUUUGAGUAUAGGGGCGAAAGACUAAUCGAACCAUCUAGUAGCUGGUACCGCA